CCUACGGGAGGCAGCAGUGGGGAAUAUUGCAUAAUGGGCGAAAGCCUGAUGCAGCGACGCCGCGUGAGGGAUGACGGCCUUCAGGUUGUAAACCUCUUUCAGUAGGGAAGAAGCGAAAGUGACGGUACCUGCAGAAGAAGCGCCGGCUAACUACGUGCCAGCAGCCGCGGUAAUACGUAGGGCGCAAGCGUUAUCCGGAAUUAUUGGGCGUAAAGAGCUCGUAGGCGGUUUGUCGCGUCUGCCGUGAAAGUCCGGGGCUCAACUCCGGAUCUGCGGUGGGUACGGGCAGACUAGAGUGAUGUAGGGGAGACUGGAAUUCCUGGUGUAGCGGUGAAAUGCGCAGAUAUCAGGAGGAACACCGAUGGCGAAGGCAGGUCUCUGGGCAUUAACUGACGCUGAGGAGCGAAAGCAUGGGGAGCGAACAGGAUUAGAUACCCUGGUAGUCCAUGCCGUAAACGUUGGGCACUAGGUGUGGGGGACAUUCCACGUUUUCCGCGCCGUAGCUAACGCAUUAAGUGCCCCGCCUGGGGAGUACGGCCGCAAGGCUAAAACUCAAAGGAAUUGACGGGGGCCCGCACAAGCGGCGGAGCAUGCGGAUUAAUUCGAUGCAACGCGAAGAACCUUACCAAGGCUUGACAUGGACCGGACCGCCGCAGAAAUGUGGUUUCCCCUUUGGGGCCGGUUCACAGGUGGUGCAUGGUUGUCGUCAGCUCGUGUCGUGAGAUGUUGGGUUAAGUCCCGCAACGAGCGCAACCCUCGUUCUAUGUUGCCAGCGCGUGAUGGCGGGGACUCAUAGGAGACUGCCGGGGUCAACUCGGAGGAAGGUGGGGGACGACGUCAAAUCAUCAUGCCCCUUAUGUCUUGGGCUUCACGCAUGCUACAAUGGCCGGUACAAAUGGUUGCGAUACUGUGAGUGAGCUAAUCCCAAAAGCCGUCUCAGUUUUCGGAUUGGGGUCUGCACUCGACCUCAUGAGUCGGAGUCGCUAGUAUCGCAGAUCAGCA
rnacentral:rRNA from 1 species